GAUGAACGCUGGCGGCGUGCCUAAUACAUGCAAGUCGAGCGAACAGACGAGGAGCUUGCUCCUCUGACGUUAGCGGCGGACGGGUGAGUAACACGUGGAUAACCUACCUAUAAGACUGGGAUAACUUCGGGAAACCGGAGCUAAUACCGGAUAAUAUAUUGAACCGCAUGGUUCAAUAGUGAAAGACGGUUUUGCUGUCACUUAUAGAUGGAUCCGCGCCGCAUUAGCUAGUUGGUAAGGUAACGGCUUACCAAGGCAACGAUGCGUAGCCGACCUGAGAGGGUGAUAGGCCACACGGGAACUGAGACACGGUCCAGACGCCUACGGGAGGCAGCAGUAGGGAAUCUUCCGCAAUGGGCGAAAGCUUGACGGAGCAACGCCGCGUGAGUGAUGAAGGUCUUCGGAUCGUAAAACUCUGUUAUUAGGGAAGAACAAAUGUGUAAGUAACUAUGCACGUCUUGACGGUACCUAAUCAGAAAGCCACGGCUAACUACGUG
rnacentral:rRNA from 1 species